UGGGGAAUAUUGCACAAUGGGCGCAAGCCUGAUGCAGCAAUGCCGCGUGAGUGAAGACGGCCUUAGGGUUGUAAAACUCUUUCGCUAGGGAAGAUAAUGACGGUACCUAGUAAAGAAGUCCCGGCUAACUCCGUGCCAGCAGCCGCGGUAAUACGGAGGGGACUAGCGUUGUUCGGAAUUACUGGGCGUAAAGAGUUCGUAGGCGGACUAGCAAGUUAGAGGUGAAAUCCCAGGGCUCAACCUUGGAACUGCCUUUAAAACUGCUAGUCUAGAGACCGGAAGAGGUUAGGGGAAUACCUAGUGUAGAGGUGAAAUUCGUAGAUAUUAGGUGGAACACCAGUGGCGAAGGCGCCUAACUGGUCCGGUACUGACGCUGAGGAACGAAAGCGUGGGGAGCAAACAGGAUUAGAUACCCUGGUAGUCCACGCCGUAAACGAUGAGUGCUAGAUGUUGGGAUUUUCGGAUUUCAGUGUCGCAGCUAACGCAUUAAGCACUCCGCCUGGGGAGUACGGCCGCAGGUU
rnacentral:rRNA from 1 species